ACGACUACACUCCUACGGGAGGCAGCAGUGGGGAAUUUUGGACAAUGGGCGAAAGCCUGAUCCAGCAAUGCCGCGUGCAGGAAGAAGGCCUUCGGGUUGUAAACUGCUUUUGUACGGAACGAAAAGGUCUGCCCUAAUACGGCGGGCCCAUGACGGUACCGUAAGAAUAAGCACCGGCUAACUACGUGCCAGCAGCCGCGGUAAUACGUAGGGUGCGAGCGUUAAUCGGAAUUACUGGGCGUAAAGCGUGCUCAGGCGGUUAUGCAAGACAGUUGUGAAAUCCCCGGGCUCAACCUGGGAAUUGCAUCUGUGACUGCAUGGCUAGAGUACGGUAGAGGGGGAUGGAAUUCCGCGUGUAGCAGUGAAAUGCGUAGAUAUGCGGAGGAACACCGAUGGCGAAGGCAAUCCCCUGGACCUGUACUGACGCUCAUGCACGAAAGCGUGGGGAGCAAACAGGAUUAGAUACCCUUGUAGUCCACCAAUCC
rnacentral:rRNA from 1 species